rnacentral:rRNA from 1 species
AAGCGCUUGGCCGAGAUCGUGAGUUUUUUAACAAAUGACCUCAAAUCAGGCAAGAAUACCCGCUGAACUUAAGCAUAUCAAUAAGCGGAGGAAAAGAAACUAACAAGGAUUCCCCUAGUAACGGCGAGUGAAGAGGGAAGAGCUCAAAUUUUAAAUCUGCCUUGUUCCAAGGUCGAGUUGUAAUUUGAAGAAGCGUUUUCUUGGGCUCGCGGCCGGUAGAAGUCCUUUGGAACAGGACAUCGUAGAGGGUGACAAUCCCGUCCGUGACCGGUCGUGCGUUCAUCUANGAUACGCUUUCAAANAGUCGAGUUNUUGGGAUNCCAGNUCCAAACGGGUGGUAAACAUCACCUAAGGCUAAAUAUUGGCGAGAGACCGAAAGCGAACAAGUACCGUGAGGGAAAGAUGAAAAGAACUUUGAAAAGAGAGUUAAACAGUACGUGAAAUUGUUGAAAGGGAAACGAUUGAAGUCAGUCGUGCUGGCGCGAAAUCAACCCUCUCGUCUUGAGAUCACAUGGCGCGACGAGCCUCAAAACCGUCACGAAGCGUGAACUCUUGACGAAAAGGUGCACUUUCGUGUCCGCUGGUUAACAUCAAUUUCGAACGUCAUAAAAAGGCUGGAGGGAUGUGGCUCCUUCGGGAGUGUUAUAACCUUUAGCGGAAUGUGGCGUUCGGGAUUGAGGAUUGCAACGAAUACCUUCAGGGCUGUUCCACCUGGCUUCUCAUUGGUAUCCUGGUGACGACAGCUUGCUGACGUCGUUAGGAUCAGCUUCUGAACAGGCUAGAGUGUGAGCAAAUUCGUUAAGGAUGUUAACGUAAUGGCUUUAAACGACC